rnacentral:lncRNA from 1 species
GAAAGUAUGUCUAGAGGGGGGGGUGAUUAGACUACUUGACAAUAUAAAAAUUCUGCCUUUUGACAAAGAACAGUUUUUUGGCAGAUUCACGAUUAUGAUCAAGUCAAGCAUCACCCUACACAUGCAAUUCUAGAGUAUAGGCAGCGGAAAGUAAAUUGCACAUGUAGUAAAGAGAGGUGGAGAAGAGCAAACGCAAUUUUGGAGACGCGGUGAUUUUUCUCGUGGUUCCGAUAGGUGGUGCUAUCGUACUUCCAUGUUGAUGGAGACUUCAACCCACGGAGGGUAACGGCUGCGAGAGUCCACGGAGGGCUCCACCCACGAAGGGUCCACGAAGAAGCAACCUUGUCUAUUCCAUCAUGGCCUACACCCACGGAGGACUAGCCUUACUCGGGGUAGAUCUUCACGAAGUAGGCGAUCUCCUUGCCCUUACAAACUUCUUGGUUCAACUCCACAUCUCGACGGAGGCUCCCAAGCGACACCUAACCAAUCUAGGAGGCACCACCCUCCAAAAGGUAAUAGAUGGUGUUGAUGAUGAUGAACUCCUUGCUCUUGUGCUUCAAAUGAUAAUCUCCCCAACACUCAACUCUCCUCACUGAUUUGGCUGUGGUGGAAGAAAGGAUUGAGUGGAAAGCAACUUGGGAAGGCUAGAGAUCAAGCUUCAUAUGGUGGGAGUGGAGCAACUUGAUCUCAACACAAGGGUAGGUAGUUCUCUUCUCAGAAAUGUAAGGUAGGAGUGGUAGUUCUUUUUGAUGGCUCUCUCCAUGAAUGAAGAGGGGGUGGAGGGGUAUUUAUAGCCUCCACACAAAAUCCAACCGUUACACACAUUUGAGCAAUCUCGGUGGGACCGAAGUUGACAACUCGGUGAGACCGAAAGUUCAAAUAAUGUGAACGUUGGGAUUUUCGGUGGGACCGAAAAUACAAUCUCGGUUAGUCCGAUUCGUGCAAAGACAAGAGCUUGCCAAUUUCGGUGGGACCGACUUCAUCAUCUCGGUGACACCGAUUUGAUGACAGAAGGUUACAGAAGCUUGGCAACUCAAGUUUCGGUGAGACCGAGUUCUGAAUCGGAAAAUCCGAGUUUGCUAGGGUUUGGCUUUAUGGCUGAGGUGGUUCAUCUCGGUGUGACUGAGUUUGGAAAAUCGGUGGGACCGAGACUACUUAUGAGUGUAUAUGGCAGUGAAAGUUGCUGAUAGUUUAGGAGAUGUAUCACUAAGCACUUGAGCAACCAGAUCAUCAUCAUAACCUCAUCCCCUUUUAAUAGUAUUGGCUUUUCCUAUGGACUCAAUGUGAUCUUGGAUCACUAAACCAAAAAUGGAGUCUUGAGCUUUUGCCAAUGCUUGCCUUAGCAUUUGAGGGGUCCACUUCUUCAGUCCUUGCCAUACCCAUAUCACUGAACUUUCUGAAAUGAUUCUCAAGUAGCUAUUAGUUCAAUGAUAUAUAUGUUGUUAUUAAUUACCAAAACCACCCGGGGAUUAGUUGCACUUUCAAUCUCCCCCUUUUUGGUAACUGAUGACAACAUAUAGAUCAAAGCUUCGACAAAGGAUAUAAUCAAUGAAUAAUAUCGUCGCUUUGAGAAGUAUGUGAUAAGCAAGAGCUCCCCCUAAAUUUGUGCAUUAUUUAAGAUUUGCGUUUGAAUGCAAAUGCACAAUCGAUUAGGAUCAUGGGUCACUCUUCCAUGUCACAUACAUCUUGGUGGAGCGCACAAAAUGAUAAGAAUGAACAGCAUGCACCCAAUCACCAAGACAUGAGUAAAUGGUCAUACAAGAUAGGAAUAGCAUAUGAUAAGCAUUAAGCACACAUUAAAGCAUAGUACGACCAAGCACUCAUUAAGGUAGAAUCAAACAAAGUAUCAAACACACUGAAUGUCUCGAAAACCAAAAGAAACCGCAAAAGAACGAAAGAGCAAAAGCGCAAAGACAAUAGCACUCUCUCUCUCGAAGUCCUAUGAUCUAUACAAUUUCUCCCCCUUUGGCAACAAGUUACCAAAAAGUUCGAAAAAGCAUAGAGCUAAGCGUCACUGGGGACUCUGCUGGCGGCUCCUGUCUGGGUUGAUGUCGGAGUGGAUAUGACAGCAUCGGCGAAGACUUCAGCUGAUGUCUGUGCUGGAGGAGUGGUCUCUGGAGCUGGAGUUGGAGUAACUGCUGGAACUGUGGGAGGUGCUGAAGCUGUAGUCCUGGUGUCUGUCACCGGAAUAGCAGCUGAUCGGGGUCCUGUGGGAACCGGAGCAGUCUGUUGCUGAAAAUCCUGGACUAAGUCAUCCUGCAUCUCACGCAUAAGCUCUUCCUUCUCCCGCUUUGCUUCCUCAAUGUCUGCCUCAAGCUUGUUGACAGUCACUUGCACUUCAGUCAGCUUCACAUCCAAAGCGUGGAUCUUGUCCUCAACAAUCCUCUCUAAGCUCUCCUGAGACUGUACAAUGCUGGCCAGGCAUUGUUCAAUCCUUUGGGUAGCUUCAAGAAUUUGCUCUCCGAAGCUCUUUGGUUUAGCUGCUGCUGCUGCUGCUUCCUUGUCAGCUUUGGCUUUCUUAGCAGCUUCGAUCUUGGCUUGACCUUCAACAGAUGUUGGAUCCUCCUCAUCCAUCACAACAACAUUCUCUUCAUGCUCUGGCUGCAGCGGUAAAUGUUCUCUAUCCAACAAGAAUGUGCCCGUGCCAAACUUGGCAUUGAUAAGCAUCUAAAUCUGCGGGGCAAAUCCACAUGACCUUUUCUGGUCAGCUGCAGUCCUCUUAAUGGUCUCUACCAUCAAGUCCAUCACCUUGAAAGGUGCUUUCUCAUCAAGUAUGUGCAGCAUGUUGAUAGAGUAUCCUCUGAUCAUGCGAUGAUCUCCAGACUUGGGCAUCAAGGUAUGCCUCAAAAUAGUAUUAGUGGUAGGUAAGCCUGCCUGGAGAUAGUAGACUGAGCCGAGCUUCCAGAUUCCCAAAUCCUUUGCUGGAAUCUCUUUGUACAUGUUCUUCAUAGAUUCAUGAUUCUUCUUUGGAAUCCCAUAUACAUCAAUAUCAUCUUCUCGUUGCACUGGAGCAUUCAGAAGUUCUGCCCAUUCUUCAACAGAAGAAGAAAAUCUUUGACCUUCAGUCAUCCACACAAUCUUUCCAUCAGGGUAGAAAUGAGCUGUGGCAUAGAAUUGCAUUAUCAUCUCAUCGUUCCAUCUGGUCAAUUUCUGACCUACAAAGUCUGCAACUCCACAUGCAGUGAAACUUUCAUGCACAUGUGGAAAGAAAUCUCUGUGCUCUUCGCUGUCAAUGUACUUCCAGUCAACAUAUCUUGUGUCUGCGACUAUGGGCUUCUUGUCCAUCAGCACGGUCUCAUAGAAGUCCUGCUACUCUCUGGUGUGAAAUCUGGGAUCUACAGCAGUUCUUCUCCUCACGGCAUAUGGGUCAGUUUGUCUCCAUAGCCUGAGACCUUUAUCUUUCCUUGCCUUCAUAUCCUCAGCUUGAGGAUGAGCAUCAUUAUGUAGUGGCAGUUUUGGACGAAGUUUCUGCAAAACUGGUGCUUCAUCGUCUGACACAGCUGGUGGCACAUCAUCCUUGUUCUUUUCAGACACUGGAAUGUUUCUGAUGGUCUUCUUGGGCUUGGCAGCAGGCUUUGCUGGAGGUGCCUUAGCUGGAGCAGAUUUCUUGGGCUUUGAUGUGGCUCCAGCCUUAAUGGCAUCACCCAUGAGCUUCUGCUUCUAAGGAGUAGGCUGGGGUGCUUCCUCAUCCUCAUCCUCUACUGCUGCAUCUACAUGAGGAUCAAUAUACAUAUCUGCUCUAGCUCCUGACACAUACACUAUCCUCUUUCUCUUGGAAGUUUUCUUCACUUUGCUUGCAGUUGCCUCUCCCAAAUUCAGCUUCUUAGCAACAGUUGACUGCUUGACUUUGCUGGUGCCCUUCUUAGUUUGUUGACCUUGUUGCUCUUUGGCAACAACCUUCCUUUUGGGCUUUGAGGUCACCUCUUCCUCAAAAACAAAAUCUGAAUCUUCAUCAUCUGAAUUUCUCUUCUUUCUAGCUCUGGUGGCUGCAGGAGGCAAACCACUUGGUGUACUCCUCUCACCAUCAUCAGAUGAGCUGCUAGGAUCAGGACUAGUGCCUGCCUCUGGAAUAUCUGUAAUGGGCAUCUCUGACCUGUUCUGACUGUCACUGGCAUCUGACAUGGCUGACAACCUGUGAAUAGAUAAGGUGUAGGCAGAGAAGAAGAGUCAUCACAAAAGCAGAAGUUUUUGCAAAAAAAAUGAGUUCAAAUUCUAGUAUUAGGUUUUCACAGAAGACAUUUCGGUCAGACCGAGUUUAAGAUUCGGUGAAUCCGAAGUGUUAAACAGGAGCUUGGCACACCACUUUCGGUUUGACCGAAGUGGGUUUCGGUCCUGCCGAAAACACUAGGGUUUCACAGAAUCCUCAUUUCGGUCACACCGAUUUGCACAACUCGGUUGGACCGAAGGGUGCAGUGCAAUGGCCAUAGGCCAAAUCGGUCAUACCGAAAAUGUAAAAUCGGUCUCACCGAGAUGUGUUCGGCAGAAACCUAAUCCUAAAACUUUUACUCGAAUUUAGUCCAAACGAACUAAUCUGGUGUACAGGAGGAUUUCAAUCGUGGCAAGAUACUAGGCAAUCCAAAUGUGCAUUGAAUCGGAGAUGGGAGCACGAGUGGGAUCAAAACUCACCCUAACUUGGUGGAGUUUUUCUACGGCGGCAACGGCUCGGAGGAGAUGUUCGUUGACGGCGACGGAGACCUGCGACGAGGGCGCACAGGCGACGACGGCGACGAUCCGGAGACCAAGGCGACGGCAGCAAGGGGUGUGGGGGCGAAACGUUUGAAGGAGAAAUCAACGCGCGCGGCCCUCGGAGUAUAUAUACCCCUUUGCUGUCGGUGGGACCGAGUUGUAAAACUCGGUGGCACCGAGAUGGAUAACUGCUAGGCAGUUAUGCACUUCGGUCACGCCGAAAAUCACAACUCGGUUUCACCGAGGUAAAAACCUAGAUCAGUCUAAAUGCUUUCGGUUCGACCGAGUUUGAGUGAGUUGGUCUGACCGAAAUCAAUUAGAAGGUUUUGGAAGUUAGCCCUUGAUGGAUCGGUGGCUCCGAGUGCUCCUCACCCGGAGGGUCCGAAAAUGACUUGUUCAAAAUUUGUGAUGUAAGCAUGAAUAGAAUUUGAGACAAGAAAGCAUAGAUAGCUAGGGGAGGUACUUAGGCAUUCUUGUUCAUCCAUUUGGUCAGAAAACUCAAAAAGACCAAAACAACAAAUGGAUGUCCUCGAAUGGAUAAAAUCAUGCAUCCAACAUGCUCAGACAAUAAGAUAGCAAAUGAAAUAUGUGUCAAACAUGCACAACUAAAACUCUAGCAACUAACACACAAUUUGUCGAUGACUAGGUCAUCUUUAUAUGAGUAUAUUGACUUAGGAGCCAAAUGAGAACAUUUGAUCAUAGGUCAUACUCAUCGUUUAAGCACAAGUGGGGUUACCACUUUUCCAUAAAGCAUUGAUGUGUUCACAUCAUUUGAAGAUGCUUUAGCUCAAUUUUUAGAGCAAAGCUCCCCUAGAUGUGAGAACCCCUUUUAAAGGGUCAAACUAACCUUGGGUUGUCGUAGAAGACUUCAUGUAGAUGUUGAAGAUGUGGAUGCUCAAUGUUGAUGGAGAUCAUCAAGAGUUGGGAGCUAUCCUUUGGAUUCGGGCACUUUCAAUACCUACAUGGGUUAGUCCCACAAGGAACAAACAAGGAUAUCCAUGGACAUAGAUUGAAGUUCACAAUAGAUGAUGUCCAUGAAAGCAAUGAUUACCUUGUCCCUUGACUUACCAACAAGAGGGUUUGUGACUCCAUGAACUAGUGCACGAUGUGGAAGUUGAUUGCACAAGUUUUUGCCAAAAUGAAUGUGAGUGAAGUAUGUUGGCGGAGUCACCCUCAAGAACUUUCUAGUUCUUCUUCUUCGGGAUCCACAUCAUCUUGAUGGGAAUCCUUGGGGUUGUAGUUGAGCUUGACGAAGUAGAACUUGACGUUUCCUUGGGAACCCACUUGACCAUGGCUUGAGGUGCUUCAACAAAUGCAUCAAUCUCCUCUUGAAGCUUGUCCUUGCCUUUUAGCUUGUGGUCUUGUGGUGGAAGGUCAUCUUGAGCUUGUUCCGCAUUGGAAGAAGUAGAAUCAUACUUCUCCUUUUGAGGAACAAACUGUGGAGUAGGAUAUUGACCUUCUUCCCAUUCAACACCUUCGGCGUUGAACUUUCGCUCAAAACCAAUUCCUUGAUUCUUCCGGUGCCUUCCUUGCUUGCGAACAAUUUCCUCAAAGUUCUUGCUUCCGGCAAGGCUCUUGUAGACACCUUUCUCUAUAAUCCCUUUCAAUAAACUAUUUUCUUGCUCAAGUGUAACUUGGCUUGAAACAUUGUUAGUGGAAUCAAGAGAACUACUAGAAGCAACAAUAUUGGAUUUAGCAUGGUUAUUGUUACUACUAGAGAAAGAAUUUUUCUUAUGCUUGUCAUGCUUAGUUUUAAUGGGUGGCAAGAAAUUAGACAAGAGAAGUCGUUUGGCAAGAUAUGAAGAACUCUUCUUUCGAAGAUCGUCAUUGAUUGCUUUUAGAAACUCAUGUUCUUGCUCUAGAGUGAGCUUCUCGAAGCGUAGCUUCUCAUGAGAUCUUAGGAGCUCUCUAUGAUCUUCUUGAGUUGUUUCAUGAGCUAACUUAAGAGUGUUUAGUUCUUUAGUUAGACGCUCAAUCUCCUUCAUAGCAUUGUCAUUCGACUCUUCUCGACUAUAAAGACUACUAGCAUGUUCAUCAUUACUAGGCUCACUGGAUUUAUCAAGCAAGAGCUCAUCUUCACCAAGCAAGUCAUCCUCAUCACUAUUGAAGUCAAUGAAUUCAGGGUGUGAUACCUUGGGGCCUUUAGCCAUGAAGCAUCUUCCAAUUCCCUCAUUUGGUGAAUAAAAUAAGUCGUAGGAGUUGGAGUUGGAGGAUACGAGAGCAAGACCGGCAACACCUUCAUCUUGACUGUAGUCGGAAUUGGAGUGAUAGCUUCCUUCGGAUUGAUUGUCGGAGUCGGAGCCGGAGACCCAUUCACCUACAUGAGCUUGAUGUUUUCUUCUUGUGUAACUCCUUGAUGACUUGUCUUUCCUCUCCGAAUCCUUGCUUCUCCGAGAGGGUCUUCGUUCAUAACGAUCAUCUCUGCUCCUUCUCUCUUUCCGAGGUGACUCAUCUCUUGAGCUUCUUCUUCUUGGAGAUUCUUCUCUUCUCUUGUGGGGAGCCGUACACUCAUUUGAGUAGUGUCCGGGUCUUCCACAAUUGUAGCAGUUUCGAUCACGACUAGAAGAUCUCUUUUCAUCAUAUGAUCUAGACUUUGAGCUUCUCUCUUUGCCUCUAUUCUUGUAGAAUUUGUUGAAGUUUUUGACCAUUAGGCUUAUCUCUUCAUUGGAAACUAACUUGUCACUUGAGGUUGUGGGAGCAUCACUUGUAGCUUUGUAAGCACCACUUGACUUGUUGUGAAGCUCUUCAUUAUCCUUAAGUGUCAUCUCAUGAGCAACAAUUCUUCCAAUGACUUCGGUUGGCUUGAGAUUCUUGUAGUUUGGCAUCAUUUGGAUCAAAGUGCACACGGUGUCAUACUUUCCAUCCAAAGCUCUGAGAAUCUUCUUGAUGAUGAAUCGGUCGGUCAUUUCUUCGCUUCCUAAGCCGGCAAUCUCAUUUGUGAUGAGAGCAAGCCUAGAGUACAUUUCAGCGACUCCUUCACCAUCCUUCAUCUUGAACUUGUCAAGUUGACCUUGAAGAAUAUCUAGCUUUGAUUCCUUCACGGACUCGGUACCUUCGUGCAUUUCAACCAAAGUAUCCCAAAUCUCUUUUGCAUUCUCAAGACGGCUGAUUUUGUUGAACUCCUCGGGACACAAGGCAUUGAAGAGAAUGUCACAAGCUUGAGCAUUGUUUUGCAACAUCCGCAAUUCUUCCGUUGUAGCUUCGCGAUCCGGAACUUUUCCUUCCUCGAAGAAUUCACCUUGCAUACCAACACAAAUAAUGCCCCAUGCGGCUGGGUUAUGGCCAAGAAUAUGCAUUUUCAUUUUAUGCUUCCAACUAGCAAAAUUUGUACCAUCAAAGUAAGGACCUCUACGAAAAUUACCCUCACUAGACGCCAUACUCUCCUAGGUUGUGAAACCAAGCUUAUGGAGUCCAAUGCAAUGGAAACCAAUACAAUGGAGACCAAAGCUCUGAUACCACUUGUAGGAUCGAAAGUAUGUCUAGAGGGGGGGUGAUUAGACUACUUGACAAUAUAAAAAUUCUGCCUUUUGACAAAGAACAGUUUUUUGGCAGAUUCACGAUUAUGAUCAAGUCAAGCAUCACCCUACACAUGCAAUUCUAGAGUAUAGGCAGCGGAAAGUAAAUUGCACAUGUAGUAAAGAGAGGUGGAGAAGAGCAAACGCAAUUUUGGAGACGCGGUGAUUUUUCUCGUGGUUCCAAUAGGUGGUGCUAUCGUACUUCCACGUUGAUGGAGACUUCAACCCACGGAGGGUAACGGCUGCGAGAGUCCACGGAGGGCUCCACCCACGAAGGGUCCACGAAGAAGCAACCUUGUCUAUUCCAUCAUGGCCUACGCCCACGGAGGACUAGCCUUACUCGGGGUAGAUCUUCACGAAGUAGGCGAUCUCCUUGCCCUUACAAACUUCUUGGUUCAACUCCACAUCUCGACGGAGGCUCCCAAGCGACACCUAACCAAUCUAGGAGGCACCACCCUCCAAAAGGUAAUAGAUGGUGUUGAUGAUGAUGAACUCCUUGCUCUUGUGCUUCAAAUGAUAAUCUCCCCAACACUCAACUCUCCUCACUGAUUUGGCUGUGGUGGAAGAAAGGAUUGAGUGGAAAGCAACUUGGGAAGGCUAGAGAUCAAGCUUCAUAUGGUGGGAGUGGAGCAACUUGAUCUCAACACAAGGGUAGGUAGUUCUCUUCUCAGAAAUGUAAGGUAGGAGUGGUAGUUCUUUCUGAUGGCUCUCUCCACGAAUGAAGAGGGGGUGGAGGGGUAUUUAUAGCCUCCACACAAAAUCCAACCGUUACACACAUUUGAGCAAUCUCGGUGGGACCGAAGUUGACAACUCGGUGAGACCGAAAGUUCAAAUAAUGUGAACGUUGGGAUUUUCGGUGGGACCGAAAAUACAAUCUCGGUUAGUCCGAUUCGUGCAAAGACAAGAGCUUGCCAAUUUCGGUGGGACCGACUUCAUCAUCUCGGUGACACCGAUUUGAUGACAGAAGGUUACAGAAGCUUGGCAACUCAAGUUUCGGUGAGACCGAGUUCUGAAUCGGAAAAUCCGAGUUUGCUAGGGUUUGGCUUUAUGGCUGAGGUGGUUCAUCUCGGUGUGACUGAGUUUGGAAAAUCGGUGGGACCGAGACUACUUAUGAGUGUAUAUGGCAGUGAAAGUUGCUGAUAGUUUAGGAGAUGUAUCACUAAGCACUUGAGCAACCAGAUCAUCAUCAUAACCUCAUCCCCUUUUAAUAGUAUUGGCUUUUCCUAUGGACUCAAUGUGAUCUUGGAUCACUAAACCAAAAAUGGAGUCUUGAGCUUUUGCCAAUGCUUGCCUUAG